GGGUGGUCUGAGUGAGUAUGGUGUUUAUAACUAAUUGAUCACAAACAAUUACAGAUUUCUUUGUUUCUUCUCCAUCUCACUGCUUCACUUGACUAGCUAAU
ensembl:misc_RNA Y_RNA Y RNA